rnacentral:tRNA from 1 species
GCCGGUGUGGCAGAGCGGUUAAAUGCCUCCGCCUGCAAAGCGGAUGCCUGGGGGUUCGACUCCCUCCGCCGGCG